CAGUCACCGGUUUCACCCCGCUCCCACACAGCCUGCAGUCCUAAAGGCCCGUCUCACUCCCACCGUGAGCAGCUUGGAGUCAGUUUCCAGGAAGCCAGUGACCCGGGCUGAGAAUUUGCCUCAGACCACAAGCCUCCCCAUUGAGAAAGCAAGCAGACUCAGUUUUUUGGCGUCUUAGGGACCCCGCAGCAAGUUCCUUCAAAGGGCUGCUCCGUCUAUCCAAGUGGGAGCUGCAAGCAAGUCCUGCCUCCUCUCCGCCAUCUUAACCCCUCAACCAGUAAAUGUUUAAAGACACAAAUCUCAAGCCCUCUCAGUCUCCACUCUUCAAAAGUCCGUCCUUUCCUGACUUUACGUGGCAGAAAGACAAUCUGCCUUGCAGCAAGUUUAUGGAUAACACGGAGUUCCCCUGCAAUGAAUAUGUGAACCCUCUGUUCUUCAGGAUAGCACUUGGGAUGAUGUGGAGUCCCUUUCUUCUGUCCUGCUGAUUGGAAUGUGGACAAUGGCCAGAGCUGCAUUUGGAUCAAGAGAAUGAGGGAGACUCCAUAAGCCAUAGUAGAGCGAAAGACCAGAGAGGGCCUGAGUCCCUGGGAAGUUUGGGAAACAAAGCCACCAUC
rnacentral:lncRNA from 1 species